rnacentral:rRNA from 1 species
UACGGGGGGAGCAAGCGUUGUUCGGAUUUACUGGGCGUAAAGGGCGCGUAGGCGGUCGUGACAAGUCACUUGUGAAAUCUCCGGGCUUAACUCGGAACGGUCAAGUGAUACUGUCGGACUAGAGUACAGAAGGGGCAACUGGAAUUCUCGGUGUAGCGGUGAAAUGCGUAGAUAUCGAGAGGAACGCCUGCGGCGAAGGCGGGUUGCUGGGCUGAUACUGACGCUGAGGCGCGAAAGCCAGGGGAGCGAUCCGG